UCCACUUUCAUUCUCACACUUCAAAGAAAACUUUCAGAAAGAACCCUAGCCUUUGCCUCUAAUGUUGAAGAAAACUACAUAAAUACACUCAUAGGUGAAGUUAUUUGAUUGUAGGGGUAAUUUUUCGUUCAGAAUCUUGACUUCAACUCAAGAAAUGUCCAAGAAGAUGCUUGAUAUUGGCCAUUGGAGAUAGAGUUUUGGGAACUUUAAGGAAGAUCACAUUUGCAUAUAGGCAUCUAUAUUUUAUUGUAUUUUGAGACAUGUAUAUGAUCUAUGGGGUGCUUGUGUAUAUGUAUUUAUGUAUGUAUUUGUGAAGGUUCCAUUCAUGACAUCAUGGGUUGUAACUUAAAGUUGGUUGCUUGUUUUAUAAUUUUGGGGUAUGUAAUUUCCAAGUCUUAUGAUGUACUAAAUUUAUCUUUGGAGUUGGAGUAUUUGGAUAAAGUAAUAAUUGUAGUGAUAAGGAAUAAUACAUGGAUGUCUCGUAAUAAGUUAUUUUCUUAAAUUAUUUUGAAAGGUCACUCCGUCCUAAAUUGAAACUUUUAUUUGAUUUGAUUGAGAUCAGAGAAUUUUAAACUGGCUAAAAAAACUUACACCUUUAACUAUUUUUAAAUGGGUCAAAUUUCACUGCUAGAUUAUAUAAAUAGGCCUUACGAAAUUUUUUUAAAUGUCACGAAUUUUAUAUACGUUUUUUAGUAGUAGCAUACUCCUUGGAGGGUCGCUACACUGCAAUUGGACAAGACUCAAUGAAGUAUUUCUAUCCACUUGCUUGGACAGUGGUAGAUAGAGAAACAAGUAGAACAUGAAAAUGGUUCAUAGAGUUGCUGAGAAACUCUUUGGAGUUGGCAGAUGGUGAAGGCUUGACACUUAUGUCUGAUAUGCAAAAGGUACUGCUUGGUGUUGUUGGUAAUUUACUACCAAAAGCACAACAUAGAUGGUGUGCAAGGCACAUAGAAGCCAAUUGGUCCAAGAAUUAGAGUGGUGUACAGAUGAAAUAAUUGUUUUAAUGGUCUGCUUGGAGUACAUUUGUAGAAGAAUUUGAAGACCAGUUAAAGAUCAUAGGUUCUGUUAAUGAACAAGCCCCCAAAAAUUUGCUAUGUUAUCCACCACAACACUAGUGCAGGGCCUAUUUUGACAUAGUUUGUAAGAACUUCUCUUGUGAAAAUAACUUCACUGAAUCUUUCAACAAAUGGAUUUUGGAAGCAAGGGCAAAAUCAAUAAUCAAGAUGUUGGAAGACAUUAGAAUCAAGGUUAUGAAAAGGUUGAAAGAACUUGAAGAAGAAGGUAAGAAGUGGACAGAAGAAUAUAGUCCAUAUGCCAUGAAACUUUUUAAUGAUUUCAGAAUCAUUGCACAAGGUUGUUAAGUUGUUGCUAAUGAAGAUUUAGGAUAUGAGGUGGCUGAGGAUAUAGAUAGGCAUGUCGUUAAUC